UGCCAUCGAUCAUAAGACGGUGAGCACGGGCACUUUCAAAAAGAAUUAGCUCGCUUGGAUCGGUAACGACCGAGACGGACGC
rfam:Chloroflexi bacterium RBG_13_54_8 RBG_13_scaffold_8274, whole genome shotgun sequence.